AACGAACGCUGGCGGCGUGGAUAAGACAUGCAAGUCGAACGCUGAUUUCAGGGUAGCAAUAUUCUGGAGUCGGAGUGGCGCAAGGGUGCGUAACACGUGGGUAAUUUGCCGUGAAGCCCGGAAUAACUCGCUGAAAGGCGAGCUAAUACCGGAUGCGAUGUUUGGGAGGCAUCUCCUGAACCUUAAAGCUGGGGACCGCAAGGCCUGGCACUUUUCGAUAAGCCCGCGGCCUAUCAGCUAGUUGGUGAGGUAACGGCUCACCAAGGCUAAGACGGGUAGCUGGUCUGAGAGGACGACCAGCCACACUGGAACUGAGACACGGUCCAGACACCUACGGGUGGCAGCAGUCGAGAAUUUUUCACAAUGGGCGAAAGCCUGAUGGAGCGACGCCGCGUGGGGGAUGAAUGGC
rnacentral:rRNA from 1 species